GGAAAGGGAAAUAGUGUAUGUAAGGGACACUUUGGAGCCUGCGUUUUAGGGUGAUUUUACUUUAGGAGUUUGUGUAACCUAGACGCAUUAUGUUUCUGUUUCAGGCAUUUUGCAGACUGCUGCUCAUACUCGAGUGCCACAGAAAAAUUUUGAGCUGAGACCAACUUGAGAAAGGUCAUAUUUGCGAACCUGAUUCAAUUGCUUUAAAAAUUCACUUUUCUCAUGCAGUAACUAGUAAUUGAUCUCUGAAUGGAUAAUGAAAUCUUUACCAGGGAGAUUACGCCAGUUUAGACAGAGAGAAACUGAAAUCUUGGAUAUUGGAAGAAAGUUAGAGAUCAUGUACUCUGAG
rnacentral:lncRNA from 1 species